AACCCAGCCAAUAACUAGCUAGCAGUAUGACGUCAUUACACACGCCUGCCAACCACAUAGCUAUUUCUAAUUGGCUUAUUUCUAACCAUAUAGGAAUCGGAUGAAACACGCAUUGCACCAAUGCGAGAGCGGACAUAGUAAACAGUCCCGUUGAUAUGUGGAGUCAUAUUCUCGCAACGAGCUACGAUCUCACUUUUUUCGGCAGGGUAUGUCACUAUCACAGUAUGCUGUGCAAGUCAAAGAAUUGUAAAUCCUAGUCCCAUUUUCCGCCCAGCGCUCUGUGGUUUUGCAGAUCUUUCCGAAUUCCUUCGAUUUGGAGCCACAACUUUGAAAGGACAUUGUCUUGACCCAUGAGAGGAGACGCUUGGCAGUUAUAUGGUGAUUCACGGCUGAUGCCUGCAGUGCUGAAAUGAUGACCCUGGAGCGCAAAGACGCGUAGAAGUAGGGAAGAACUUGCUGUACACGAAAAACAACAUUGGUAGGAAACUUAAAUCCCAUCGCAUCCAGGCGCUGCACAAUUGUUUGUAAGCGAUAGAGGGACAUCGCAGCCACUUCAAGAAGAUGUAAGUUCAUUGGAGUUAACUGAGCAACCUGAUGUGUCCAAGUCAGCUUGGGAUCGAACACUAUUCCCAGAGGUGAAGGCGGGCAUCAUCGUGGCAUCCGGGUGGUGUACAUCCUCCUCCCCACGUCACACUUACGCCACGACAUGCAAGAGAGACUGUGCCCAACCCAACGGCGACAACUGCCAAACGACAACAUGCGAAGGCGCUAAGCCUCUAUGUGGAGUGAUGUUCAAACCGUCGGGUGAAUACUGGGGUUCUGGGUGCGGCAAUAUAGAAAGUCCCGACUUGAAAGCUCCGUUUUGCUUUCUGAUGAACAACAAUGAAAUCAGCCAUGGGUGUAUAUGCGACACAACCAACUGCAACCAACUUUCCCGACUUCCGAACUGAUCUGUGUACGAUCUUUCCAGUAAAACUCCUGUACUGGUAUCAGCAGGAAGCCUUGCUGUAAAAAAGAUGGUCAACACUCAGUUGUUCAAAAUGUUUUCCGCCGCUGUCAGUGUGAUUUUGUUGGCCGGGGUGUAAACUUUAUUUACAUAUGUGGCAGUACGCUUCUAAGUAAACAUAUGCUUCUAAAUAAACAUACAUUCUGUAUACGCUUGUCCUGCUUAUAGAUACUCGUACCAAAAUGCAAAAGAUUCAAUAUUUUACUCUUAUCAGUCUUAAGUACUGAUUUUAAUGCGCUGUAGGCCACAACCGCUGCAUCCGCUGCAGAAAUA